AACGAACGCUGGCGGCAUGCCUAACACAUGCAAGUCGAACGAAACCUUCGGGUCUAGUGGCGCACGGGUGCGUAACGCGUGGGAACCUGCCCUUAGGUUCGGAAUAACUCCCCGAAAGGGGUGCUAAUACCGGAUAAUGUCUUCGGACCCAAGAUUUAUCGCCUUUGGAUGGGCCCGCGUUGGAUUAGCUAGUUGGUAGUGUAAAAGCCUACCAAGGCGACGAUCCAUAGCUGGUCUGAGAGGAUGAUCAGGCACACUGGGACUGCGACACGGCCCAGACUCCUACGGGAGGCAGCAGUGGGGAAUAUUGGACAAUGGGCGAAAGCCUGAGCCAGCAAUGCCGCGUGAGUGAUGAAGGCCUUAGGGUUGUAAAGCUCUUUUACCCGGGAUGAUAAUGACGGUACCGGGAGAAUAAGCUCCGGCUAACUCCGUG
rnacentral:rRNA from 1 species